rnacentral:rRNA from 1 species
GGGUUGUGAGGUUAAGCGACUAAGCGUACACGGUGGAUGCCCUGGCAGUCAGAGGCGAUGAAGGGCGUGCUAAUCUGCGAUAAGCGCCGGUAAGGUGAUAUGAACCGUUAUAACCGGCGAUACCCGAAUGGGGAAACCCAGUGUGACUCGUCACACUAUCAUUAACUGAAUCCAUAGGUUAAUGAGGCGAACCGGGGGAACUGAAACAUCUAAGUACCCCGAGGAAAAGAAAUCAACCGAGAUUCCCCCAGUAGCGGCGAGCGAACGGGGAGGAGCCCAGAGCCUGAAUCAGCAUGUGUGUUAGUGGAAGCGUCUGGAAAGGCGCGCGAUACAGGGUGACAGCCCCGUACACAAAAGCGCAUGUGCUGUGAGCUCGAUGAGUAGGGCGGGACACGUGGUAUCCUGUCUGAAUAUGGGGGGACCAUCCUCCAAGGCUAAAUACUCCUGACUGACCGAUAGUGAACCAGUACCGUGAGGGAAAGGCGAAAAGAACCCCGGCGAGGGGAGUGAAAAAGAACCUGAAACCGUGUACGUACAAGCAGUGGGAGCACCCUUUGGGGUGUGACUGCGUACCUUUUGUAUAAUGGGUCAGCGACUUAUAUUCUGUAGCAAGGUUAACCGUAUAGGGGAGCCGUAGGGAAACCGAGUCUUAACCGGGCGUUAAGUUGCAGGGUAUAGACCCGAAACCCGGUGAUCUAGCCAUGGGCAGGUUGAAGGUUGGGUAACACUAACUGGAGGACCGAACCGACUAAUGUUGAAAAAUUAGCGGAUGACCUGUGGCU